rnacentral:lncRNA from 1 species
UGGGGUCAUAUCAACAUCCUGCAGAACUAAUUGUAGAAGACAGAAGCCUCAAAUCUUGACAGCAGCAGCAGCAGCAACCAAAAUCAGGUAGCCAUAGUAUUUGGCAAGGACAAUAACUGGAAGCAACCAGCCUUACUGAUUUCUGAAGACUCGUUAAUUAUCAGCAACCAGCACUUGUUAAUUAUCAGCAACCAGUAGCAGCAGUAACCAGGUAACCAUCGUGUAGCCUUGGACCUCCCAUGACUCUUGCUCAGUCACCAAGUAAUAUCUAUCUAUAAGACUAGAACAUCUAAAGCUUUCUUUGACUAUUUCAGACAAGA